AAAAUGUUAGUAAACCCAUUACACCGCCUUGUCAUGACGGAAUAACGAGUGUAAACCUCGUACAUUUUA
rnacentral:tRNA from 1 species